UGCAGUCGAGCGAACAGAUGAAGUGCUUGCACUUCUGACGUUAGCGGCGAACGGGUGAGUAACACGUAAGGAAUCUACCUAUAAGCGGGGGAUAACAUUCGGAAACGGGUGCUAAUACCGCAUAAUAUCUUCUUCCGCAUGGAAGAAGAUUGAAAGACGGCUCUGCUGUCACUUAUAGAUGACCUUGCGGUGCAUUAGUUAGUUGGUGGGGUAACGGCCUACCAAGACGAUGAUGCAUAGCCGACCUGAGAGGGUGAUCGGCCACAUUGGGACUGAGACACGGCCCAAACUCCUACGGGAGGCAGCAGUAGGGAAUCUUCCGCAAUGGGCGAAAGCCUGACGGAGCAAUGCCGCGUGAGUGAAGAAGGCCUUCGGGUCGUAAAACUCUGUUAUAAGAGAAGAACAAAUUGUAGAGUAACUGCUACAGUCUUGACGGUAUCUUAUCAGAAAGCCACGGCUAACUACGUGCCAGCAGCCGCGGUAAUACGUAGGUGGCAAGCGUUGUCCGGAUUUAUUGGGCGUAAAGGGAGCGCAGGUGGUUUCUUAAGUCUGAUGUGAAAGCCCACGGCUUAACCGUGGAGGGUCAUUGGAAACUGGGAAACUUGAGUACAGAAGAGGAAUGUGGAACUCCAUGUGUAGCGGUGGAAUGCGUAGAUAUAUGGAAGAACACCAGUGGCGAAGGCGACAUUCUGGUCUGUUACUGACACUGAGGCUCGAAAGCGUGGGGAGCAAACAGGAUUAGAUACCCUGGUAGUCCACGCCGUAAACGAUGAGUGCUAGGUGUUGGAGGGUUUCCGCCCUUCAGUGCCGCAGUUAACGCAUUAAGCACUCCGCCU
rnacentral:rRNA from 1 species